ensembl:lncRNA
CCUCUCACAGCUUCUGAGGUCAGCUCUCCGUGAGGAAGACUGUCCAGAGGAAGGCAAGUCCUCCGCCACAGAUCCCUGCAGAAGCAGGUGCCCGUGUUGUUUUCCAAGUUCAAGGUCUUUCUGUGGCUGCAGCCAAGAAGAGGUUCUAGGGAAUCUGAUAAGAAACGGCACUAAUUAACACUAAUUUGCUGGAGCCAGGCAGCAACCUCCCUACCACCCAGAGAGUAUGGAGAACACCAGUGCCUGGCACAAAAGCCCCCCUCCCAGAAACCUGGUCCUGGCUCACUGCACCCAGCUGUCGGAUUACAGGGGCUCAGAGUGAGGUCAUCCUGCUUGGGGACAGGCAGGCCUGCUCUGCACCAAGGCAGAGGCCCUUUCUUCAUCUGGACUAUCCAGCAGGCCACCAGACAUCCUGAAGGAGGAGCCAUGGACAGAGAACACAGGCUGAGUUGGCUUCGACUUUGCCAGCUAACCGCUGCAAAAGGCAGGAGUCCUCAGAGGCCCCAGCUCUUCCAAAGCCUGAUUUGGAAGCACAGUGCUUCAGUUACUCAGGGUAUAAGAGAAGAUGUGGUCCAUUGUGUCGGGGAAGGCAUGUGGUGGCAGAGGUGUGGUGAAGGCUGAUCACCUUGUGUCCGCUGUCAGAAACCCGGGGGAGGCUUGUCUGGCACAUUAAAUUAGAAGAAAAAAAUGCACACACAAUUUCAGAAAUAUUUUUGCUGCUGGACUCCCAACUGAACAUCUAAUAUUUCAGUGUGCGAAGAGGAAGUAUGGCCUGGGAGAGCUGUGCUAGGAACAGAUGGGGACCAAGAGAUUCUGCAACACUGGUGCAUCGACCCAAAGCUGUGUACUGGAGUCCCUGGGAGGGAGGGAGCAGUCUGGGUCAGCACCUGAUGGCUCAUGGUGGCCCUACACAGCUGCUUGAGCUUCUGCUCACACCUCAGCAGGCCCAUGUGAGGAACAGCAGCCAGAGAGACAGCCCCCACACAAAGCGUAAAGAGUGCAGCUUCCCGAGAGAAGAGGGACCAGCAAGAGGGGCCGAGGCUGUCUGCACUGAACUCUGCAUUCCCUUCCCAGUAAGAAGUCAUGCAAAAUCCAAGCUUGCGUCUCACAAUGGAGUGCUCUGUUAUCCAGUAUGGUAGCUGCAAACGUAAUGCAGCUAUUAAAUUUUUUGCCAACAUCAAAUACAUUUCCAAGGACAGCUCCACGGGACAAGACAGAGCAGCUUUGGACUGCUCUGUGGUUGUUGGAGAGGCAGAUUGCAUUGGAGCCAGUUAGAAAAGCAAGUCCAGCUGCAGAACUUGCAUGGGGGCAAGACCUUUGAGUGAGGACCCAGGGCACCUAAAAGUCUGUGUCCCGCUGGCUGCUCAGUUCCCUGAAGUAACUGUGAGAGAGCGUUAACCUCUGAGCUUAUGGGGGACUCUGAACAAUUUCUCUUCACUUCCCUUCACACUGGCACGUGUGUGCAUGUGUGUGUACAUGCGUGCAUGCAUGUGUGUGUUUCCCCAUCCAUCCUUCCACCCAUCUACCCACCCAUGUGCCUACUUAUACCUGUGGAAGCAUCAUUGUGCACUUUGCCAUGAUGAACAUGGAGAGGUCAUAACACAAGCUUGGGUGUUGGGCCUCAGUGUUCACUUUGUUUGAGUUGGGGUCCCUUGCUCACUGGCCCAGGAGCUGACCUCACCAUGGUAGCACUGCAAUUCCAGAUGCCUGUGUUGCAUCAGGAUCACUUGGAUUCUGGGGAUUCAGACUCCGGUUCUCACUGUUGGGAGGCAAGAGCUUUAUCCACUGAGUCAUCUCCC